UACAGAGGUCUCAAGCGUUGUUCGGAUUCAUUGGGCGUAAAGGGUGCGUAGGCGGCGCGGUAAGUCCGCUGUGAAAGUCGGGGGCUCAACCCUCGAAUGCCGGUGGAUACUGUCGGGCUAGAGUGCGGAAGAGGCGAGUGGAAUUCCUGGGGUAGCGGUGAAAUGCGCAGAUAUCAGGAGGAACACCUAUUGCGAAGGCAGCUCGCUGGGACGUAACUGACGCUGAGACGCGAAAGCGUGGGGAGCAAACAGG
rnacentral:rRNA from 1 species